rnacentral:rRNA from 1 species
UACGUAGGGUGCAAGCGUUGUCCGGAAUUAUUGGGCGUAAAGAGCUCGUAGGCGGCUUGUCGCGUCGGAUGUGAAAGCCCGGGGCUUAACUCCGGGUCUGCAUUCGAUACGGGCAGGCUAGAGUUCGGUAGGGGAGAUCGGAAUUCCUGGUGUAGCGGUGGAAAUGACGCAGAUAUCAGGAGGAACACCGGUGGCGAAGGCGGAUCUCUGGGCCGAUACUGACGCUGAGGAGCGAAAGCGUGGGGGAGCGAACAGG